GAUGAACGCUGGCGGCGUGCCUAACACAUGCAAGUCGAGCGUGAACCGUCUGAAUGAAACUUCGGUCGAGUGAGGAUGGGGAAAGCGGCGGACGGGUGAGUAACGCGUAGGCAACCUGCCCCGUACAGAGGGAUAGCCUCGGGAAACCGGGAUUAAGACCUCAUAAUACCAUUAUCUCACAUGUGAUAAUGGUCAAAGAUUUUAUCGGUAUGGGAUGGGCCUGCGUCUGAUUAGCUGGUUGGUGGGGUAACGGCUCACCAAGGCGACGAUCAGUAGCCGACCUGAGAGGGUAAUCGGCCACAUUGGAACUGAGACACGGUCCAAACUCCUACGGGAGGCAGCAGUGGGGAAUAUUGCACAAUGGACGGAAGUCUGAUGCAGCAACGCCGCGUGGAGGAUGACACAUUUCGGUGCGUAAACUCCUUUUAUAUGAGAAGAUAAUGACGGUAUCAUAUGAAUAAGCACCGGCUAACUCCGUGCCAGCAGCCG
rnacentral:rRNA from 1 species